rnacentral:rRNA from 1 species
UGCCAGCCGCCGCGGUAAUACGGAGGGUGCAAGCGUUAUCCGGAAUCACUGGGUUUAAAGGGUGCGUAGGCGGCGCAUUAAGUCAGAGGUGAAAGAUCGGGGCUCAACCCCGAAACUGCCUUUGAUACUGAUGUGCUUGAAUCACGUUGAGGUUAGCGGAAUGUGACAUGUAGCGGUGAAAUGCAUAGAUAUGUCAUAGAACACCAAUUGCGAAGGCAGCUAACUAGGCGUGUAUUGACGCUGAGGCACGAAAGCGUGGGUAGCGAACAGGAUUAGAUA